AUUGAACGCUGGCGGCAUGCUUUACACAUGCAAGUCGAACGGUAACAGGGUGCUUGCACCGCUGACGAGUGGCGAACGGGUGAGUAAUGCGUCGGAACGUGCCGAGUAGUGGGGGAUAACGCAGCGAAAGUUGUGCUAAUACCGCAUACGUACUGAGGUAGAAAGUGGGGGACCUUCGGGCCUCACGCUAUUCGAGCGGCCGACGUCUGAUUAGCUAGUAGGUGAGGUAAAGGCUCACCUAGGCGACGAUCAGUAGCGGGUCUGAGAGGAUGAUCCGCCACACUGGGAAUGAGACCCGGCCCAGACUCCUACGGGAGGCAGCAGUGGUGAAUUUUGGACAAUGGGCGAAAGCCUGGUCCAGCCAUGCCGCGUGUCUGAAGAAGGCCUUCGGGUUGUAAAGGACUUUUGUCGGGGAGGAAAUCCCCAGCGUUAAUACCGCUGGGGGAUGACAGUACCUGAAGAAUAAGCACCGGCUAACUACGUGCCAGCAGCCGCCGUAA
rnacentral:rRNA from 1 species